GAUACUGAAUAUAUUGAAUUAAUGCGUGGGCUGUGUUUGUGUGUCUUUCUUUCUCAAAUUCAAUAUAAUACAAAGGACGCAUGUCAGGUUGAUUAAUUGGAGUGAGAAAUAUGGUUAGACAGUCAUAUCCUUCUGAGGCACCGACGUUUACGUCCUUGAUUGCGUGCUGGCUGGUGUCUGUUACUCCGGUGUCGUAUUCGAAAUAAUCUACGUAUCAGCCGGUUCGUGGGCGCACACCCUUCACCUGAGCUGGCAGACCGGGUUCACUAAAAGUGAACCGGUCUCCCCCUCCGCCCAACGAAGCCCUUGUAGCCUACUUUCUCCCCCACCCCCCGAUCGAGUACAGGUUUGGAUGGCGUCGCGACGAAAGUGGCUUCUUCUUCUCUGCAAUUUCGACACCGGUACGCAUUUUUCCCAAACUUCUCACAUACUCUCUGUUAUUACUCACUCACACUUAGAUUCUCACCACUCACGCACACGCACUUUGAUUUCGCACUGAUAACCCAGACCCACAAAUUGUUUCCUCCCGUCGAGUAGUGCCACACAUCACGGUCAUCACGGUUGUCGGACGCCCCCAUGCCGGGCUGAGAGAAAAUCUCUAGUUUGUGUUGCUGAUAAUUAUACCUACCGGCUUCAUAUUUUAGAUGUCCUGCCCCUAUGCAAACAGGUUGAAGGAGGACAAGAAGUUGUAAACCAAGCAGAGAUGGAUGCCAUUUUCUCUAGCAAAUAAUUGGCUCUAAUUCUACUCUAAUUCUCAGUGCACAGACAUUAGAAGAUGCGAGCUUGCUUAGUUGAUUAUUUGGAGUCUUGUUGUUUAUAGUUUUGGAUUUCGAGUUUGGUCGAGUUGAUGUAUUCGAUCUUGCUCAGUUAAUGAUUUGAAUCUUUUAUGAUGUAUUCUCAUAUCAGUUCAUCCAUUGUAUAGUUUUGGAUUUCAAGUUUUUGAUGAUGUAUUCUCAAACUUGUUAUAGUUUUGGAUUUCAAGUUUUUAAUGAAGAA